rnacentral:rRNA from 1 species
UGAGGAAUAUUGGUCAAUGGGCGCAAGCCUGAACCAGCCAUGCCGCGUGCAGGAUGAAGCAUCUAUGGUGUGUAAACUGCUUUUAUACGGGAAGAAACAGCUCUACGUGUAGAGCCUUGACGGUACCGUAGGAAUAAGGAUCGGCUAACUCCGUGCCAGCAGCCGCGGUAAUACGGAGGAUCCAAGCGUUAUCCGGAAUCAUUGGGUUUAAAGGGUCCGUAGGCGGCCCUGUAAGUCAGUGGUGAAAUCUCCCCGCUCAACGGGGAAACGGCCAUUGAUACUGCAGGGCUUGAAUUAUUGGGAAGUAACUAGAAUAUGUAGUGUAGCGGUGAAAUGCUUAGAUAUUACAUGGAAUACCGAUUGCGAAGGCAGGUUACUAUCAAUACAUUGACGCUGAUGGACGAAAGCGUGGGUAGCGAACAGGAUUAGAUACCCUGGUA